CGUUACACAGGCUGCUUGGUGAAUGUCAGCCUCAGCUACUGACGUGUGAACAAGACACUGCUGGGCAGCCCAAGGCCCUGUAGCUCUUAUGUGGGCAGAGCAUUUGCUACCAUCUACAGGACUUGGGCUUUCCUAUAUCAAAAAAUACACAAUGAGAAGAACAAGUCAUGUUGAAGUGCUAGGAGGCAAAUAAGUGCCAGCCACCUUGAUGGACUACUCGGGGGUCUGUAUGGAAGAACUGAACAGCUGAAGUGACAUUAAUACAGGAGAUGUUGUGCAUAGUGAACUUAACAAAAUGUUUUCCAUUUCCCUAGAUUUCAUUUUACACAUUGAGACUCCCCUCGUUACCACCCCAUGUUUUCUGAGAGAUCAGGAAUGCAUUGGUGCAACUUCCUAGAGCACUGCAGAAGACUCUCCAAAAUGAAUUUACAUGGCUUUUUGCAGGUGAAGGCAAAAAAAUUCAGGCCAUGCGCCAAGAAACAGAAGCCCAAAUCACCUCUGAACUGGAAGCCAUGGACUACUAGUUAGACUGGUGCUGAGCCUGAAUCAAUGAACUUUGCAGAAAGGCACUUUUGUCUUGAUCUUGGACUUCUACCACUCACAGCUGAGUGGUUUGUAAGCCCCAAGCCUAAGAAGAAUGGAAAUUAUUGCUGUGAUCAGUCCAUUAUAAGAAGAUUGCAUAUAGAUUAAGAAACAGAGGAUUUGUGGAGAACUCAAAUUUGCAGAAGAUUGAAGACUCAUUUAAGGACACUUGGAAGCCUUUUAUGGAUUAUAUAUACAAAACAGAUGUUACAUCUUAGAAAAACUGGGAGUUGACAGAGAUCCUCAGACCCUUCAGAAGCCAAGGACUGUGUCUUGGGAUGUUAGGAUUAAAACAAAGUUAAUUUAUUGCUUAGAUGCACUGAAUUAAAGAGGGAGAAUGAGAGUGGUUGUGGUGGAGUUCAGCAGCGCAGCAUGGUAAAACUAUCAUAUGGGGAAGAAAAAAUAAUUUUUUUUACCUGGUGCACCUGGGUUCAGUUUUUGGAUGACUGCUGACUGCACCUGAAGCAAUGAAGAUUCAGGAUACCUGUUCCAUCCUGCAACAGAGAUGCAGAAUUAUCCUCUCCUUGCUAGCUAUAACUAAAAGCCAAAUGAGAGCAAGAGAUGAGUUGCUCUUUGGUCAGAAGGUUUUGCACAGGCUGGAGGUAGAAUGAUUCCUUUGUUCAUUGUUAGCGCUAGAUACACUUUCUUCAGUCCAGAAAAGCAGAAGCUUGGAAAGCAAAUACCAACACUGCUAACUUUUUUAAUUGGGCUUUUCAGCUUAAAUCUUCAUUUCUCUUCACAUUACUUGUGCAUGCAGAAGUGUGCAUAUGUAUAAAUGAUUUCUCUACAAACCAAAUCUUUUGAUAACCUUAAAGCAUUUGUCGUUGUCUAGUGUAUGUGCUUGGUUUAUGUGCCAAGCUGUAUGCUGCUCUUCUAUAUGAAUGUCAGUACAAUUCAGAAGUUCCUAAGUGACACAGGAGCUGAAAGACCAUUUUCAGAAGGCACGUAGAUCACAGAGCUACCACAAUGGCACUUACAGGUCCCAUGCUCUCCUCCACUAUUCCUCCUCCCCUCUCUUUCCAUAGCUAAGCUUGCUGGACUUGCUGAUGCCCUGCUUGUGGUUGCUAUUCUCCAAGGACAUGCUGGCCUGCCUCCAAUUUGGCUCUUAUUGCAUGCUUCAAAGAGGUAGCAUCAGGGAGCAGCAAGAGUUGGGAUGCCCAUGAGGAGGGCUGGGCUGGCAGAAGAGGGUGACCACAGGGCAGGCUAUGACCUGACAGACCAGAGCUUUGUCCCACAGCGCUUACACUGGGCCCGGCUGGUGGUCAUGGCAGGUUCUGCCAGCAACUGUCAGUCAAGGCAAGGUAACAAGUCAGGCCUGGGAACUGUCAGCAAAAGCAGAAGACAUGGCUGGAGACUGGCCAACCUACAAUGUAGCUCACGGCAGGUCUGUGUGCCCAGGCAUGGCAUGUCUGGGCCACAGGCUGGGGUCAGGGUGGUCAAGGCCAGAGAUUAGCCCUUAGAGCAGUUGAAGAUGGUCAGGACUAUUAAGAUAAGACUUAUUAGUGUACUCAGAACCCAGACAUUUUUAUUUUCAUAAAACUUUUUUUUUUCCACCUAAUUACAGAAGCAAUGCUCCAUUUCCACCCUAACAUUCCUUUAUCCUUGAUGCAGUGCAGACCAGAAAGGUUCUUUCAAAACAUUGUCCUCCACUAUCUUCUUCCUCUGUUUGUUCUCUUGGAUGGUUUCCUGGGUCCAACUUGUUUCUUAAGCAAUUCUGUUCUUUGAUGGGCUUUCCUGAACCCACAGAUUUUGGCCAGUGGUUUUCAGUGUUUUCUCUUUGGCUUGCUCACCUUCGUCUUAUCUUCAAGCAGAAUCCACUCAAACUCAACUUCUCUUUUGAUCUCAGUGGUUCACAGAUCUCAUUCUAUUUCAGUUGUCUUUCUUUGUCUCAACUCAGACUACAUCAUGUCUUUCUGACAUCUUCUUGUGAAUGUCUUUCUGUCAGCUUAAGCUCAACACAACGAAAAAGGCAUUCAGUCCUUCACCAAAAGGAUGUCACUGCUGAAAUAGCAGGAAAUAGCAGGUACACAUCACUGUCUUGCAUGCUGCUAUAUACAUGAGAGCAGGGUAUGGAUUAAACUUGCAGUAAAAUGUCAUUCCAUCCACACAGCUAAUAUUAAAAUCCAGAUUUACUCUGUCUCUUGUCAGUGUAAUGAUACUUUUCCCAGUGCUCUGAAAUAUAAACUUUCCUUUGAUA